UUGGGGCACCAAAAGCAUCCACAUCUACCUUCUAAUCAUCGCAUCGUCAAAAUACAGAAUGUCGGGAAGUCUAAACCUUUCACAAACCAAAGUCCAAUCCAAAUUGGCAAUUACAAAAAAAACAAAGUCCAAUCCAUAUUGGCAGCUACCAAAAAUAAAAGUCCACUUUAUUGGCAUCUCCAAAACCAAAUUCCAAUCCCUAUUGGCAUCUCCAAAACCAAAGUCCAAUCCCUAUUGGCAUCUCCAACCAAAAGUCCAAUCCAUAUUGGCAACUCCCAAAAAUAAAAGUCCACUCUGCUGGCAUCUUCAUAAACUCAAAUCCAAUCAACAUUGGUACCCAGAAAAUCUCACCUUCA
rnacentral:lncRNA from 1 species